rnacentral:rRNA from 1 species
UACGGGGGGGGCAAGCGUUGUUCGGAAUUACUGGGCGUAAAGGGUUCGUAGGUGGCCAACUAAGUCAUACGUGAAAUCCCUCGGCUUAACCGGGGAACUGCGUCUGAUACUGGAUGGCUUGAGGUUGGGAGAGGGAUGCGGAAUUCCAGGUGUAGCGGUGAAAUGCGUAGAGAUGUGGAGGAACACCAGUGGCGAAGGCGACUCUUUGGCCUGUAACUGACACUGAGGCGCGAAAGCGUGGGGAGCAAACAGG